rnacentral:sRNA from 1 species
GUUUUGUUGGGCAGCGAGAAAGCGUUGCCGCAGGCAACGACCCGAAGGGCGAAGCGCGCAGCGCUGAGUCAUCCUUCCCCCACCACCA